CGGAGAAGGAGGGCACCUUUUAAUGCCAUUGUAUGCCAUUUAAAUUAGGGUUUGCUCUUUAUAAUAUAUAAUAUAUAUAUAGUCAUGAUAUUUAGGUUGAGUCGGUUUAGGGUCGGUUCAAAGUUGAUCCUAAACCAAUACUCCCUCCUACUAAUUCACUCCUUGCGUAGAGAAGGGGUUUUUGAUGAAUAGUUUCGGAUGGUGGAGAGUAUGCCUCAAGGCUGCCGCUCUCACCCUUCCUAGCUGCUUCUCUUCAUUGGCGUGAACUCCUCCACCUUCGUGGGGCUCAUCAUAUGCAUAGUGCACAGCUUCCUCGUGCCUCGCCAAUAUGCGCCACUCCCUACGAACGCGAUCCCUUGGUUGUCGUUUGACGUGGCGCAGAGGCUUCACUCAGGCGCUUGUGGGUCCUCAUGGACCCACUCAAUUGCCUCCGCCUACACAAGCGAGGAAGUUUCCAAAUGGAGGAACCAGCUGCUGGUUCAUCUCCAGAUCUGCAGUUAUGGCAAUGGAGGUUCGUCCCAAAAACAAAAACAAUAACAAGUGUGGGCGGGUAAAAUGAAGCUUGUGGUCCUUUCAAGCUUUUGCUCAGAAAUAAAAACCAGCAAAAAUGGAGCUUGUGUUCCUCUCAAACAAGAACUUGACCGCACAGUCUCUCUCUUUACACCUUUUUAUCCUUAUAGUUCCACUCUACCACCAUCACCAUCUUCCUCGUUAGCAUUACCUUCUUCACUCCGUCACUCCCCAUAAUCGUCUGCAUCGUCAGUUCAUCGCAACCAUUCCACAGAGCCGGUCGAACUUCCAGAUCUGGAGCCAUGGCCGCGAGCGACGAUGGCGGCUCCUUCGGCACCGGCGGCCAUGGGACGGGCAGAAUGGAAGAGCCAGGCCGAACUUCCAGAUCUGGAGCCAUGGCCGCGGGCAAUGACGGCUUGUUUGGCGCCGGCGGACAUGGAAAGGCAGAAUUGAAGAGCCAUGAACGACGGCCGGAUCCGGAAGGAAAGUGGGUGGAGAAAAAAGAAACGAAAAGUUACAAAUUUUAUUUUAUUUUUUAUUCCAACUGGGCUGAUACAUGCCAAUUUAUUAGGGAAAAAAUCAUGAAAAAUCCUAAAUUUUGUUCAAAAUAACAGAUUUACCCCAAUUUUUUUUUAUAUGAAAAACUCUGAACUUUGCUAACGCGACACAUUUACUCAAACUUUUUCUGUCGUAUGAUACAUUUGCCAUAAAUUAUAGGGUAUUUUGGUUUUUUUACUUUUUUUUUCCUUCUCCUCCUUCCGCCGGCUGCCAA
rnacentral:lncRNA from 1 species